UCUGGCGGCGAUAGCGCGGUGGUCCCACCUGACCCCAUGCCGAACUCAGCAGUGAAACGCCGUAGCGCCGAUGGUAGUGUGGGGUCUCCCCAUGCGAGAGUAGGGAACUGCCAGAC
rnacentral:rRNA from 1 species